AACGCUAGCUACAGGCUUAACACAUGCAAGUCGAGGGGAAACGAUAUUGGAAGCUUGCCUCCGAUAGGCGUCGACCGGCGCACGGGUGAGUAACGCGUAUCCAACCUGCCCAUCACUUGGGAAUAACCUUGCGAAAGUAAGACUAAUGCCCAAUGAUAUCCCACGAAGGCAUCCGAAUGGGAUUAAAGAUUUAUCGGUGAUGGAUGGGGAUGCGUCUGAUUAGCUUGUUGGCGGGGUAACGGCCCACCAAGGCAACGAUCAGUAGGGGUUCUGAGAGGAAGGUCCCCCACAUUGGAACUGAGACACGGUCCAAACUCCUACGGGAGGCAGCAGUGAGGAAUAUUGGUCAAUGGGCGAGAGCCUGAACCAGCCAAGUAGCGUGCAGGAUGACGGCCCUAUGGGUUGUAAACUGCUUUUAUAAGGGAAUAAAGUGGGUCACGUGUGACUUUUUGCAUGUACCUUAUGAAUAAGGACCGGCUAAUUCCGUGCCAGCAGCCGCGGUAAUACGGAAGGUCCGGGCGUUAUCCGGAUUUAUUGGGUUUAAAGGGAGCGUAGGCCGGAGAUUAAGCGUGUUGUGAAAUGUAGAGGCUCAACCUCUGCACUGCAGCGCGAACUGGUCUUCUUGAGUACGCACAACGUGGGCGGAAUUCGUGGUGUAGCGGUGAAAUGCUUAGAUAUCACGAAGAACUCCGAUUG
rnacentral:rRNA from 1 species